GGAGGGGUGCCGGAGCGGUCGAACGGGGCGGUCUCGAAAACCGUUAAGGGUGCAAGCUCUUCGAGGGUUCAAAUCCCUCCCCCUCCG
rnacentral:tRNA from 2 species